CCGGAAUCUCCAGGGAUGACCAGCCCCUCCCCGCGCAUCCAGAUAAUUUCCACCGACUCUGCGGUAGCUUCACCUCAGCGCAUUCAGAUUGUGACAGACCAGCAGACAGGACAGAAAAUCCAGAUAGUCACCGCAGUGGAUGCCUCCGGUUCCCCCAAGCAGCAGUUCAUCCUGACCAGCCCAGAUGGAGCUGGAACUGGCAAGGUGAUCCUGGCUUCUCCGGAGACCUCCAGUGCCAAGCAGCUCAUAUUCACCACCUCGGACAACCUUGUCCCUGGCAGAAUCCAGAUUGUUACAGACUCUGCUUCUGUGGAGCGUCUGCUGGGGAAAACUGAUGUCCAGCGACCUCAAGUGGUGGAGUACUGUGUGGUCUGUGGUGACAAAGCCUCUGGCCGUCAUUAUGGGGCUGUUAGUUGUGAAGGCUGCAAAGGUUUCUUCAAAAGGAGCGUAAGGAAAAACUUGACCUACAGCUGCCGGAGUAACCAAGACUGCAUUAUCAAUAAGCACCAUAGGAACCGCUGUCAGUUUUGCCGGCUGAAAAAAUGCUUAGAGAUGGGCAUGAAAAUGGAAUCUGUGCAAAGUGAACGGAAGCCCUUUGAUGUACAGCGGGAGAAGCCAAGUAAUUGUGCUGCUUCAACUGAGAAAAUCUAUAUCCGGAAGGACUUGAGAAGUCCUCUGAUAGCCACACCCACAUUUGUGGCAGAUAAAGAUGGGACAAGACAAACAGGUCUUCUUGAUCCAGGGAUGCUUGUGAACAUCCAACAGCCUUUGAUACGUGAGGACGGUACUGUUGUUCUGGCCACAGAUUCCAAGGCUGAAACAAGCCAGGGCGCUCUGGGCACUCUGGCAAAUGUAGUGACCUCUCUUGCCAACCUGAGUGAAUCCCUUAACAAUGGUGACACGUCGGAAAUGCAGCCAGAGGACCAGUCUGCAAGUGAGAUCACUCGGGCCUUCGACACUUUAGCUAAAGCACUUACAGCCACUGACAGCUCCUCCCCUCCAAGCCUGUCUGAUGGGCUAGACACCAGUGGUGGAGGAAGCAUCCACGUCAUCAGCAGAGACCAGUCCACACCCAUCAUUGAGGUCGAAGGCCCCCUCCUAUCAGAUACUCACGUCACAUUUAAGCUCACAAUGCCCAGCCCAAUGCCAGAGUACCUCAAUGUGCACUACAUCUGUGAGUCUGCCUCCCGCCUGCUUUUCCUCUCCAUGCACUGGGCCAGGUCAAUUCCAGCUUUCCAGGCACUUGGGCAGGACUGCAACACUAGCCUGGUGCGGGCCUGCUGGAAUGAACUCUUCACCCUUGGCCUGGCCCAGUGUGCCCAGGUCAUGAGUCUCUCCACUAUCCUGGCGGCCAUCGUCAACCAUCUGCAGAACAGCAUCCAGGAAGAUAAACUUUCUGGUGACCGGAUAAAGCAAGUCAUGGAGCACAUCUGGAAGCUUCAAGAGUUCUGUAACAGUAUGGCCAGGCUGGAUAUUGACGGCUAUGAGUAUGCAUACCUUAAAGCUAUAGUUCUCUUUAGCCCUGAUCAUCCAGGUUUGACCAGCACAAGCCAGAUUGAAAAAUUCCAGGAGAAGGCACAGAUGGAGUUGCAGGACUACGUUCAGAAAACCUACUCCGAAGACACGUACCGGUUGGCCCGGAUUCUUGUCCGCCUCCCGGCACUCAGGCUGAUGAGCUCCAAUAUAACAGAAGAACUUUUUUUUACUGGCCUCAUCGGCAAUGUUUCAAUAGACAGCAUUAUCCCCUACAUCCUCAAGAUGGAGACGGCAGAGUAUAAUGGCCAGAUCACUGGAGCCAGUCUAUAGUCCACCUCACCUGCAGAGCCGGCAGGGGUGCUCACACACACAGUAACUAGUGAUAUUUUGGUAUGUGCAAGUAGUUCCGAUGUAGUAGCCAUUUCCUGCCUGGUUUCUUUCUGUUCAUCCCAGAAAAUAGCAGCUAAAAGACUAUAAGAUCCUUUCCUGCCGUAGAAAUGUUUUAAUGCCUUUUGAUGAAGCUACAGAUUUUGGAACAAUCUUUUAACUCAAUUUGUACUAUGAGACUCUCAAAGGGCAAAAAACGCAAACAACAUUUUAUACUAUCAGAGACUAGUAUUAAAACUAAAAAGAACCUAAGAGAACAGUAUGUGUGUAUAUAUAUUAAAAAUGUCCUUGGAAUUAAUAGCUACUAAUGACCAGGGUAAUGAUAUUAGCACUUUCUAAGCACUUAUCAAUGGAGAUAGAUGUUCACAGCAUCUUGCCUGUGGGCUGGGCACGUGGGAAAUUAUCCAGCUUUUGUGGAAAUGCUAAUAAUCUCUGUGGAAACGCAAUAGGGACAGGAGACAAUCAUUCUCUGUUGAAGGCAUUCCUAUUUGUAUGCACAUGGGUGGCGUAAAGCUAAAUCCCUGUGAACAAAUGAAAAUACAGCUUGUCUGCACCCAUAGUGGAGUGGGCAUGGGACCUACACUCGUGGCUCCCCCUCCCAGAGUCAGUCCUUGCCUGAUUCAGUAGGCGCCACUGGUCAUGGGGCACUCCUACUGAAUGGUUCGCAAAAUUGGAUGCAGCCAGUCAGCCAUAACUGCCAGAAUCGCAGCGACUGGACACUCGCCAGCAACCUGCACUCACAGGAGAUGGAGCCUUCAGACCAGAGCACACAGGUCUGUUGUGAUGAAUUUUAACCCCCUAAUCGGGAGCCAGGGCAGCCCAGCAGUAGUUGUUCACGGACUUGGUAAGCAGGGCCUGACCAGUGCGAGGGUGAGAGCCAGCCGGCGGCGAAACCACCACAGGAGAGCUGCAGACUCCCGUCAGCCACAGGUUGCUUUUGUUCGUAAUAAGCUACUGAAAUGUUUGAGACCGUAGUACUCAGUGCCUUUUGUGAGAUGUGGGUCCUUUAGCCUUCCGCUUCCCCCAUUUCUGACGGAAAGAAAGCUCCUGUUUCACUGGCUUCCUCCAGCUGUGAUUGUUCGACCUUUCCUUACCUGUGUCCUUGCCUGUCGUGACAAUCACACUAAUGAAGCGGCUUUCCAGUUGAAACAUAAAGCGGAAGCUUGACAACUGAAUCUGCAUACUUUUUCCUUUGGGGCUAUUUAUCUGAAUAGCAAUCUAAUCAUUAAACUGUGAGCUUAAAAAGUAUCCAGUAUCCCGCCGGGUGGGGUAGGGGGGAGAUUUUUUUAAUACCCAGCUUUUUCAGUUAAGCAGCCUUAACUGAACUUCGGUGUUUCAAUAUUUAUACAUACAUAAGGCAUAUUAGAAAUACUGUGUUAAAUUCUGAAAAAAUAAAAUUCUCAGCAACAUUUAGCAGUUGACAGACUUUGAUAAAGCUAAUCUUUGGAUAACGUUGGAAAGAAACAGACUUUCCAUUAGAAGUGGUUUUCCUUUAAGAAAGUAUGAUCGAUUCUUCCGAUGACCAGAGCAUUCUUGGACUCGAAAUGCUGCUGCCACGUACGACUCAAGUGCUGGACUAUUUUUCUACAGCCUCCGUUUCCCCAAUGACCUUGUCAACCAGUGUUCGACUAGUUUUAUAACCGAAAAGCUGCACAUUUUUCAUAGUACAAACCAUAGUUUUUACCUGUAGUUGGGGCCUCUGUUCAAAACGUAGCUGUCUUACCAGCUUUCUUUAGCGAGAUGUCUGUGAAAAGGAAAUUCCAGUUAUCGGAUUUCCUUUGGGACCGUUUCUGUAACCCUUUUCCCCUUCACGAUCUAGAUCUUGUUUAUGCCGUUACAUCUUAAAUUCAGGUUUAAAAUCUGUUGAAAGCUGCAGCUUGGAGUCAGCUUGAUGUGAUGGCAUUUAAAAAAAAAAAGGCAUGUUCUUUUUAAACUGAAUUUUGUAUCUAAUCAUUGUCUUCAGUCCUGAAGAAGAAUUUGCAUUGUUGUGUUUGUAUAUAGAGUAUUGCAGUGCAUGGAUUAGCUUUAUGCAUUUUAUUAAAUGCUGUUUCAAUGUGGCAUUAUUGUUGUGGCUUAAUACUACUACCUAAAUGAGGUUUAUACUAUUAAAAAUGAAUUAAAGAUA